rnacentral:tRNA from 1 species
UAGUAUAGUGGUGGUGCGUUCGCUUCGUAAGCAAAUGGUCGCGAGUUCGAUCCUCGC